CCCCAGGAUACCAACGGCACCGUUUGGAAGCACUGUUCAUCACCCCUUCCUUUUCGCGCGGAGGCAGCCGAUUCAACAGGGAAAUCCGCAGCAAUUCAAUCCUACCAUGGACCACGCCUCUUGCCCACGAUCCCGCUCGUGGAUUGAUUAACAGGGGAACUGGUUUUUGCAAGCUCUCUGGCUCUAUAAAAGGCAGAGCAGAGCGGAGGCAGAGGGGGAAGCAAAAAAAACAGGGGAAAACAGAACAAAAAAAAGCGUAAAUUCACAGAGAAGAAAAGGAGAGAAGGGAAAAAAAGAGCAGAACCGAGGAGACGAAAAAAAAAAAAACGCAGGAGACAGAGAGAACGAGAGCAAUAAAACAGAGAGAGGGAGGGCGACCGAGAACAAAAAACUGGGGGAGUGAGAACACGAAAAAGCCAGGGGAACGAACAAAACGGAGACGAAGGAGCAGGAGGGAAGAACACUGGGAGACAAAAAAAAGCAGAGCAAAAGAAAGAAAAACAAAAGCAGAGGAAAGCCACCGAAACCAGAACCAUUGUUGCUACUGUCUUCGGUAUUUCCAGAACCAGGUCAUUUGAAUGCUUUACUCGAAAGAAAGGUUAGCCGUUGCUCUAACUGUCUACACCAGCAGGAUGAAUAUAUUGACAAUAGUGGUCCUGUUAAUAUGGUUUAAGAUGGUCAAGCUACAUUACCUAGAUCGUGUAAUACGACAAUUCAGCGGAUUCAACAUCACGCAUGUUGACUUCUUGCUACGAGAGGGUCGAGAUCCCACAUCUUAUCUUUAUAGUACUGACAAAAAAAGAAAAGUUCACACCGUAGCGUCCAAGUAGUUAAAUAUAUGUCAUAUUGGACUCGAAACCUUUGAAGACAGGCUAAUUCUUGAUGAUGCUGUGGUAGAGGACGAGGCCACUGUGGUAAGAGCUCGAGCUGGAUCUGGUUAUGCGACUAACGAGUCUGGAUUAUCCAGUUGACGAUGUAAACGUAGAUAUAUAGAUGACUUAUGUUUAUAUAUUUUAUGAUUAUUUGAAUAUUGUAUUGUUGGAUUGUUUUAUAAUAAUUUUGCAUGUAUAUGUUUUUUUUU